CCUACGGGAGGCAGCAGUGAGGAAUAUUGGUCAAUGGUCGGGAGACUGAACCAGCCAAGCCGCGUGAGGGAUGCAGGUACAGAGUAUCGUAAACCUCUUUUGUCAGGGAACAAAGCCUGGGACGCGUCCCCGGAUGAGUGUACCUGACGAAAAAGCAUCGGCUAACUCCGUGCCAGCAGCCGCGGUAAUACGGAGGAUGCGAGCGUUAUCCGGCUUUAUUGGGUUUAACGGGUGCGCAGGCGGUCUGUUAAGUCAGCGGUCAAAGCCCGGGGCUCAACCCCGGCCCGCCGUUGACACUGGCAGUAUCGAGUUGGAGAGAAGUAGGCGGAAGGCGCGGUGUAGCGGUGAAAUGCAGAGAUAUCGCGCAGAACUCCGAUUGCGAAGGCAGCAUGCCGGCUCCACACUGACGCUGAGGCACGAAAGCGUGGGUAUCGAACAGGAUUAGAUACCCGAGUAGUC
rnacentral:rRNA from 1 species